GACGAACGCUGGCGGCGUGCUUAACACAUGCAAGUCGAACGGAAAGGCCCUGCUUUUGUGGGGUGCUCGAGUGGCGAACGGGUGAGUAACACGUGAGUAACCUGCCCUUGACUUUGGGAUAACUUCAGGAAACUGGGGCUAAUACCGGAUAGGAGCUCCUGCUGCAUGGUGGGGGUUGGAAAGUUUCGGCGGUUGGGGAUGGACUCGCGGCUUAUCAGCUUGUUGGUGGGGUAGUGGCUUACCAAGGCUUUGACGGGUAGCCGGCCUGAGAGGGUGACCGGCCACAUUGGGACUGAGAUACGGACCAGACUCCUACGGGAGGCAGCAGUGGGGAAUAUGGCACAGUGGGCGGAAGCCUGAUGAAGCAGCGCCGCGUGCGGGAUGACGGCCUUCGGGUUGUAAACCGCUUUCGCCUGUGACGAAGCGUGAGUGACGGUAAUGAGUAAAGAAGCACCGGCUAACUACGUG
rnacentral:rRNA from 1 species